GCUCUGUUUGGGUACACUGCUGGGGCUGCUGCUGCUCUGGUCUGUUCUGCCUAUGGAGCAGCCACUUUGCUGUACACCGCUACUCCGGGCCACUCUGCCUAUAAGGAAGCACUGCUCUGUGGGACAGUGAUACGGCUGCACACCGCUACUCCCGGGAACUCUGUCUUUGGGUCAGCCCUGCUCUGUCUACGGAGCAGCUAUUUUGCUGUAUGCUGUUGUUCUAAUAAACUUCUUUCUUUCACUGCUGGCUGGCGCUUGAAUUCUUUCCUGAGUGAAGCCAAGAAUCCUCCCAGGCUGAACGCCAAUUCGGGAUAAACCUGCAUCCGCUGGAUAACUUGAUAAUGAAUUUUUAAAUUAAUUUUUUCACUUAUUGAUCCACUGCUUGCACCCCUUGGACCUCUAAAUUUCUCAGUCAUUUUCUGUUUCCUGCAACCGAAGACCCCUAAGUUACACAGAAAUCAGAUUUAAAAAUACAGACUCAGACGAAUGUAAAUAUUUUGAAUUGAAUGGAGUGAAAAGUGCUGAGACUCCUACCCAUGUUCAGAGAUAUGAAAGUGGUGGUCAAUGAGAAAGAAUCUUUAAACAACCACAAGCAGUGACCGGUUGGAACCUGGGCCUCCUGAAGAUGAAGUUCAGAGAGCAGGUGGCUGUUGUCAUAGAACUGCUUAAAUAGAAUGAGGAAUGGUAGGCCCACCGAGUAGAAUGGCUACAUCUGACAGGCCUAGUAAUGAAAUUGGAGACUGGAAAGCCCAGGCCUUAUGGGUUUCAAAGCACAGGAUGAAAUUCAGAAUCCUUGUGUGAGUGUACAGAACAGUCCCUUAUUACUUGUAGCUAUGCUGCGGAGCACACAGAAAACUAAUUCCACGGAUGCAUUUUGCACCUUGCUGAAUUAUAAUAUUAGUUGAAUUCACAAACUCUCAUGUAUGUGAAAGCUAAGGCAUUAAUUAAGAAAGAGUGGACUCGGUAUAAAGUCAUAAUAACACUCUGGCAUCCAAUUUCCAGAAUUUAAAAUUAUCUCUCUGCCUAAAUAGCUGUGGGGUUCUAAAUAAGUUACUCAAAUUAUAUGUCUUACUUUUCAUGGGGAAUACUAACAAUAUUGUUAGUAGCAUUAUUUCAUGAAUAGCUAUAUUUUAAAGAAUAAAUUAGAUAACCCACACCAAACACUUAACACAGUGCCUAGUACAAAGAUAGUACUUGGAUGUUAGCUAGUAAUUCAAGUAAAAUCUUUAAUAAUUUUCAAAUAGAUGAAAAAGAAUUUGUAUUAAGUGUAUUUAUCAAACGAUUACUUACUCUGCUACACAAUCUUCAUGUUCAAAGAAAUUUAAUGCAUAUUUCUUACAAUCAGAAAUCUUCCAAUUAUUCUGGGAAGGUCUGAAUAAAACUUGCAAAAAUUUAAAUGAUAACAUAGGAGAAAUAGAAGGUCGAAGUAGUGAGACAAGAACUCAGUCAUAAGGUUUUAUAAGAUUAAGUGCUCAAUGAAUGCUCUUGGAAAAAGGUGUUAUAUUUUUCUUAAAUAUCUUUUUUAUCAAAUGACUAUUUGAUCUACUGUAUUUGAAGAGUUAAACUCAUUUCUACAUGUCUUAUUUUUCUUAUGUUCUUAUAGCAAGGAUCAGUCAGAUCUAAAUACUUGUUUCAGAACUGCACACUUUGGGUUUUGACAUUUAUUUUUUUAUUUCCUAAGCCAGAAAGUGAAUCUUUGAAAACUGUAAGACAAUAAUCCAAGUGGAAAAUGCUUUGAAAGCUCUUUGUAGUUGGCAAUAAGGCUUUAUUAAUGACAAUUGUUCUCACAUGAUGGAUGUACUUGCCAUAAUACCUAUGGGCUUAUACUGUGACUGUUAGUAUUUCCUUGAACAAUUCCCUAAGUGACCAUAUAUAAUUUAAUACACCUAGCCUCCCAAAACACAUUGUCUUGUGGAUUUGUCAGUAGUGUAUCUUAAUGAGAAAAAAUGUCCUCCUUAAAUCAAAUGUAAAUUACUUUUUUAAAAAAAUCUAACUACAGAUAAAACGUACUUUUAAAAAUAUAAUCUUGCAAUACAUUUAUUAAAAUUUUGUUAAAUGAAUCAUAUUUUCCAUUGAUUUGCACUAUUAUAUUAGAGAUGUGUUCCUAUGGUAAGAAAUUUGACCAAAAGUGAAUAUAUAAUACAACUUAGAAAUGCAGAGUAUUUUAGAUUACAUAUUCAACAAGAAAACAUUUUGCUGAAAUAAUAUGUAAAAACAUAUCUGUAAAGUUUUCUGCAUUCCUGUAUAUGAAUUAGAAAAAUAAUACCUUAAUCACAUAGCUAUUGUCGGGAGCAAUUAAAUAAGACUUUAAAUGCUAUAAAUUUCACAAUACUGUGCAAUAUUUUUAUCAUAAUCCCCUUUACAAACAAUAUGGCUUAUCUGUAGUUUGCCUUGCUUGCUAUACAAAUGCUCAGGUGACCAUCUGGUACAAAAUGGUGCUCAGAAUCAUUUACAUCUCUCUUUUUCUUCUAAGUUAUUUCAUUAUCUGUUUAGCAAUAAUUUCACAUAAAGAUAAUAACAUCUAUUUUGCUUAAUUUUCUAUUGAUAUCUAGUUUCCAACAAUAUUUUAGCUUUCUAUUUACUUUUAAAAUGUGGUUUGCAACAUAGCAAGUGAGUUCCUCUUUCAGUAAAGAUCGAGGACAGAGAAUUUGGGUCAUCUCGCCUAAAGUGUGUAAUAGCUAAAAAAAUACCAAUCUGGUUUCAAAGUGGAAAAAGUGACAUAAAGAUGUUGAGCCGACCCCUUCUCACUUUAUUUCUAUGGAUCAUGUCAUCAUUCUAAUUCAAGUGUAACAGCAGAAGUUGGAUUCUCUUCAUGCUACAAUCAUAUAAGAGAUGUUGCUAAAAUGUACACUUGUCAUAUUCCUUUAAAUACACCCAGAAAGGAUUUAUUCUUUCCAUUCUGUCUUCUCCAUUCCACUACCAUAACUUGAGUUCAGGGGGACUUUUCUCUCCCUGGACCAUAUAUCCCAAUAAUCUAAUAUAACUACAUAUAACACCAAUCAUUUCACACACUAGAUGCUGAUCUAAUCUUCUGCUCACCUCACUAAUCUUAUAUUCUUGAAAACAACUCUAAUCGUAUUACUGCAAAAAUAUCAAUAGCUCAUUACUUAAGCAGUAAAAUUUCAAACUCUUAAAUCUACAAGUGAAGGUCUACUGUCAUUGACCCCUGCUUUUCAUCCAGACCCCAAUUCUUCCUGACACUCCCAUGAAACUGGAGUACUUGCUCUUACUUAUCAGUACCAUUCUAGCACUCUUACCUCCAUUUGUUCGCUUGUGCUAGUUCUGGGUAUACUGCCGCCGUCUUCCCACACUGAUGAUCGCACCCAAAUAGAAGGUCAUUCAUUGAUUUUUUACUAUCAAAACAUUUAAUUAUUCACAAGACAAUGGCCUCCACUUCAUCCAUGCUGCUGCAAAUUACAGGAUUUCACAUUCCAUUCUAUGUAUCCCCUAAAUCUGUCAAAACAAAAACAAAUAAUUUAAUGCUCAUUUGCUUGAUUUAUUUCUGUCUUAAAUUAUUUGGGGUACUAGUAAAAGAAUGAGAUUAGAUUCAGACAAUCUCUAAGCCUCCUAAAGUUCAAAGAUUAUAUUCCAGGCACUCAGAAUAUCAUGACAAAAUGUGAAUAUUUUUGUUGAUUAAAGUGUUAUGUUAAAGCUUGUGUUUGACUAAAAGUGAACCGCUGGAUGAAUUUUCACAAUGUGAACACACCCAAGUAACCAACACCCAAAGAGACAGAAUGUCAGUGGCACCCCACAAAACACCUCUAGUAACCCCUUCCAGUUCACCAGAUCCAUCAGUAGGCAACUGCUAUCUUGACUUGUAAAAGCACAAAUUAAUUGGAAUAUUUUGGAACAUCAUGGACAUGGAAUUUCUCUCACAGUUUGUACUGUUUUGUGUCUGGCUUGUUGUUGUCGUUGUUGUUUAACAUUAUGGUUGUGAGAUUCAUCAAACAAACAAAGGUUGUGUUUGAAAGACAUUUUGCAAAUAUUUGUUUUUAAGUUACUGUCAAUACUUGAAAAGGUCGCUAGAUGUAGAUGUUCUUAGCCUUCCAAGGUAUCAUGAUUUCUCAGUUUCCUGCUCUACCUAGCACAGACAGCACCUAAUUCUUAUUAAACACAAUCAGCAAACCGUAGAAGUGUAAUAAUACUGUUAAAAAAUCUCGUUCCCAGCCAGGCGCGGUGGUUCAUGCCUGUAAUCCCAGCACUUUGGGAGGCUGAGGCAGGUGGAUCACCUG
rnacentral:lncRNA from 1 species